CUUGUAGCUCAAUUGGAUAGAGCACCGGACUUCUAAUCCGACGGUUGAGGGUUCGAGUCCCUCCGAG
rnacentral:tRNA from 1 species